rnacentral:ncRNA from 1 species
AAAAAUACUAUGAACAGGAAAAGUACUUAAGCUGUAUGCUAAAAGAGAGUGGGGGAUGGUGGAAACCCCAUAGCUAAGGCUUAAAGAAAAUCACCUGGGAGUAAAGAACUGAAAAGGAUUGAUCCUAGUAAGUUUAUUCGUCAUUUCGCGUUAAGAAAUAGAGUAUGAUAGUACUUGAACUGACUUCACAUAGGUGGUUUAUGCGUAGCUGCGUCCUUAUG